AUUGAACGCUGGCGGCAGGCUUAACACAUGCAAGUCGAACGGUAACAUAAAGAAGCUUGCUUCUUUGAUGACGAGUGGCGGACGGGUGAGUAAUGCUUGGGAAUCUAGCUUAUGGAGGGGGAUAACUACGGGAAACUGUAGGUAAUACCGCGUAAUAUCGAGAGAUUAAAGUGUGGGGCCUUCGGGCCACAUGCCAUAAGAUGAGCCCAAGUGGGAUUAGGUAGCUGGUGAGGUAAAGGCUCACCAAGCCGACGAUCUCUAGCUGGUUUGAGAGGAUGACCAGCCACACUGGGACUGAGACACGGCCCAGACUCCUACGGGAGGCAGCAGUGGGGAAUAUUGCGCAAUGGGGGCAACCCUGACGCAGCCAUGCCGCGUGAAUGAAGAAGGCCUUCGGGUUGCAAAGUUCUUUCGGUAGUGA
rnacentral:rRNA from 1 species